AUACUUACCUGGCAGGGGAGAUACCAUGAUCACAAAGGUGGUUUUCCCAGGGCGAGGCUUAUCCAUUGCACUCCGGAUGUGCUGACCCCUGCGAUUUCCCCAAAUGUGGGAAACUCGACUGCAUAAUUUGUGGUAGUGGGGGACUGCGUUCGCGCUUUCCCCUG
rnacentral:snRNA from 1 species